CGCAGUGACGCUCCUACGACAUCCGCUGCUGAUUGGCUGCCACCAGACAACAACUCCUGCUGCCUUUUUUUCCUUUAAAAAAACAAAACAAUAACAAAGUUGUAUUAAUCUUCCCUUUCCCCCCAAAGUUUUAUUAAUCUACGCAAUGGACUGCGUCACACGCAUUAUAGGAUGAGAUGAUGGAUGGACUGUGCAACCACAAUCUCGUAGAAAAGCUUUUCCCUCAACUGUAACACUGUCUUCCGCUGGAAAUGUUACAAAUGUCGCGCAUUUAUGACGUCACCAUUUGCAACCUCAAAAAAUGUCGUUACACACCUGUUGACACACCUGUUGACACACCUUUGUUGCAAUCCCAGGUUUUUGUCAUCUUAAAAUAAGACCAAGGAAGAAGAUGUGAUGUCAUGGUUAUUUGCAACGAUGGUCACCAGAUGUGUUCAAAUGCCCACAAGGAGAGAAAAUAUGGUACAACAGAUGGAAAACGACAAAAAGCAGGUGUGAAUAAAUCAUAUAAGGCUUGUCUGAA